rnacentral:ncRNA from 12 species
CCGCCCCCGACGACAAGGUAGCCAAGUGUGGCUGUCUUUCUCGAAAAGAGAAUAGUCGGGGGUGUUUUA